GGCUCCAUAAUGUAGUGGUUAGCACAUCUGCUUUACACACAGAAUGUCCUGGGUUCGCACGCCCAGGUGGAGCCA
rnacentral:tRNA from 1 species